rnacentral:lncRNA from 1 species
CCUGCGGCAACUAGACCCACAAAGUAAACAAAAGGAUUGUUGCCUAAUCAUCGAGAUGGAAAAGAAACGAACUGUGAAGGCAACCCCUCAGUUUCCCACGGUCAAUGAGUUUCUGAAGGAGAUGUAGGCUGGGGCUGUGCACACUGCCUGAUUCCCUGAACUCAGCCGCGACUAGGAAGGCCUUCCGGAAGACCAGGGAAACGGGACCCCGGAGUCUUAAGGAAUCAGGAGAUUUCCCCACUUCCCCCUCUAGCCAGGAAACAGCCAGUGCAACUGUUAAAGAACUCAGGCCCUGACUCUGCAGAUGUCAAAAGAGAACUAAUAUCUGUAGCAGAAUAACGGCACAAGGGCUCCUUGCGGGAUUCUGCUUCAUUUAGAGUCAAUUACUCUUUGCUUCUAAGAGGAACACAGCUUUGAAGUAAUAUGAGAACAUAUUUAAUCCUGCCCUACCUGGGAUACCCGUUUUGAGGCAUUUUGCCAAAAUCUCAGGCAGAUGAUUCCCGAUUCCUUCUACUUCUACGUCUCUUUCAUUAUCCUAAUGAAUGCAGAGAUCAAAAGUCCUAAAUAUUUCCCAGCAAACAUUUCCGGGGGCCUCUAACUUGACAAGUGUAUGACCCUGCACCCCAAGUAGGUUGAUGGUGAGCAGGACAUCACAGAGUCCCCACACGAGUCGUAGGAUUUUAGAAGCAGUCAGAGUCAUGGUAUAUUUAUCUAGUCUUGAGCUUCAGGCUUAACGUCAUUUCCUCAUCAAGAAUGGGGAAAAGGGUAAUUGGAUUUAAAUGUCAAGAUGUUCCAAGUGUUGGGGUGGAAGACACAUGUCUGGUUUUUUUUUUUUUUUUUUUGCUACUUUUUUCCUUUGGUUUUAUGAUAAUGAAAACUGAAACCACUUGUUGCUGGGAGAUGGGAGUGAAUCCAUUAGGACUUGAAAAGAGGGGCAGCGAUGGUCAGAGGGCAGGCGAGUGACUAUCAGAUGCAGACGGCAAGGGACACAAAGGGGUAAGAAAGCUUCGUGAGAGACUCAGCCAGGCACGGGACAUCUGAAGAGGGACCAACGAGAGUCCAAAGGAAGAGCUGAUUAGGACGGCAGUUGGGAUGAUGGCCACACUUCAGAGAAGACUGCAUCAAGUUUUGCCGUCCCCCGAGAACAGUUAAUUCUUUCCUGGGAGUUUUGGGAGAUCUGUCUUGUGGCUUUUAUUUUAUUUUAAGAGCAGCCCUUGUGCCUCCCUUACGGCGACAGACUCAUAGCCCUGAACCCCGAGUCAAAGAAAAGUGUCCUCCUUUAAGUUGCUUCUACCUGGGUCUUUGUUACAGGAAGAAACGUCAACGUAAGGAGCUAAGAGCAUGGGAGGGGACCAUGAAAGUCUACCUCAGUGGAUGACACCGGGUUGUGGAGCAACGCAGAUGGACUACAUAUUAUUUCAUAGGCUACUUUCUACAUGACCACAAACCCCCAACUUCCAAAGUUUGUGGUAGGGAAUUGGGGAAAGUAGCCAGAUUGUUAGUGCUGGACACUUCCUGUAAGGAUGAGACAAGUGUCUGGACUGGCUGUUCCCAGCUGAACCAAGGGCAGAUCAGAUGUAAGCUCUCAGCUAUUGCUCCAGCACCAUGCCUGCCUGUCUGCAGCCACGCUCCCUGCCAUAAUGGUCAUGAACUCUAACCUUCUGGAACGAUGAGCCCCUAUUAAAAAUUGUCUUGGUC